GGGGAUUUAGCUCAGUGGCAUGAGCUCCUGCCUGGCAAGCAUGAGGUCAUGAGUUCGAUCCCCA
rnacentral:tRNA from 1 species